GACAGAGGGUGCAAGCGUUGUUCGGAGUUACUGGGCGUAAAGCGUGCGUAGGCGGUGUCUUAAGUUUGUUGUGAAAUCUCCCGGCUUAACCGGGAGGGUGCGGCGAAUACUGAGAUGCUGGAGUGCCGGAGAGGUAAGCGGAAUUCCUGGUGUAGCGGUGAAAUGCGUAGAUAUCAGGAGGAACACCUGCGGUGUAGACGGCUUACUGGACGGUAACUGACGCUGAGGCACGAAAGCGUGGGUAGCAAACAGG
rnacentral:rRNA from 1 species